AGAGCGAACGCUGGCGGCAGGCCUAACACAUGCAAGUCGAACGGACCCUUCGGGGUUAGUGGCGGACGGGUGAGUAACACGUGGGAACGUGCCUUUUGGUUCGGAAUAGCUCCUGGAAACGGGUGGUAAUGCCGAAUGUGCCCUUCGGGGGAAAGAUUUAUCGCCAUUAGAGCGGCCCGCGUCUGAUUAGCUAGUUGGUGAGGUAAAGGCUCACCAAGGCUACGAUCAGUAGCUGGUCUGAGAGGAUGACCAGCCACAUUGGGACUGAGACACGGCCCAAACUCCUACGGGAGGCAGCAGUGGGGAAUCUUGCGCAAUGGGCGAAAGCCUAGACGCAGCCAGUGCCGCGUGAAUGAUGAAGGUCUUAGGAUUACGUAAAAAUUCUUUACACCGGGGACGAGUAAUAGGACGGUAACCCGGAGAAGAACGGCCCCGACUAACUCGUGCCAGCAGCCGAC
rnacentral:rRNA from 1 species